UGAUACCACGAUAAGGUGGAUGAAGAAGCCCAGAUGUGGCGUUCCCGACCAGAUAGGGGGUGCGUCCAAAUUCAGUGUCAGGAAACGGCGGUACGCUCUCACAGGACAGAAGUGGCAGCACAAACAUAUCACAUACAGGUCUAAAGAAAAGAGGAAAACGAGCUGAGCAACUGGAUGAAGAGCGGAAGAGGAGAUUGGUGGAAAUGAGGAGUUGUG